GACGAACGCUGGCGGCGUGCUUAACACAUGCAAGUCGAACGGAAAGGCCUUUUCGGAGGUACUCGAGUGGCGAACGGGUGAGUAACACGUGGGUGAUCUGCCCUGCACUCUGGGAUAAGCCUGGGAAACUGGGUCUAAUACCGGAUAGGACCGCACUUUAGUGUGUGUGGUGGAAAGUUUUUUCGGUGUAGGAUGAGCCCGCGGCCUAUCAGCUUGUUGGUGGGGUAAUGGCCUACCAAGGCGGCGACGGGUAGCCGGACUGAGAGGGUGGUCGGCCACAUUGGGACUGAGGGGCGGCCCAGACGCCUACGGGGGGCAGCAGUGGGGAAUAUUGCACAAUGGGCGCAAGCCUGAUGCAGCGACGCCGCGUGGGGGAUGACGGCCUUCGGGUUGUAAACUCCUUUCGCCAGGGACGAAGCGUUUUGUGACGGUACCUGGAGAAGAAGCACCGGCUAACUACGUG
rnacentral:rRNA from 1 species